rnacentral:lncRNA from 1 species
CAGUAACAAUGAUAAUAAUAAUAUUGAUAAUAAAUAAUAAUAGUAAUAAUAAUACUAAUAAUAAUAAAGUGAAUAGUAAUAAUAAUAGAUUCAUAAUAAAAGUAAGACAAUAAUAAAAUAAAUAAUUGAAGUUAAAGGCUGAUGACUAUAUUGAAAUUGCAAUGAAGUCAGGGGGUUUAAAUUGUAAAUAAAGGAAAAUAAGGAUCAAAAUAAAAGACGCUAAAACUAACGGGGACCAAAAGAGAAAAUAGCCUUGGUCUUUUACACGCAGCAUUUUGAGCUGAAUCAGGGGACUUAAUUAAAAGUGAAUUAAAAUUAACGGGACAAAUUUGAAGGAAAUAAAUCAAGGAAUUUUGACUGAAUUGAAAACAGCUCAAAAGCAGAGGAACCACGGGCAUAAAUAGCCCAAAAGUUGGAAACACGCGGAUCCUGAGGAAGCGGGUCAGGUCGCGCCGGGUGAGCUCUAAACGGUUUCGUUUUAGCGCCUGGGCCUCCAGCUAAAAACGGCGUCGUUUUACUUCUACUAUUUAAGUCAAACUUUUUUUUUUAAACACUUCAAUUUCUCUCCUCUCUAAAAAAAAAAACAAGAAAACUCUCUCAAGUUCUCUCUUCCCCUCCGGGCUCAGGCCAGGAAUCCGGUUGCCGACUAGCCGCCAUCCGCCGCCGUGCCGGCCACCAUACACUGUGGCCGGGAAUAAAAAAAGGUAAAUUUUUUUUAUUUAUUUAUAUGUAAAUAUAUACAUAUAUACUGUUUUUAAAAGUUAAAAUAGGGAAAGCAUGUGUAAAUAGAUUCGAAAAAUAAAGAAAGAAAAUACAAAUAAAAAGAAAAAAAUGAAUUGCAGUAUCCUUUGGCCCUUUUUUAAAUCUGUUUUAAACUUCUUUUUUUAUUGUAUUCUCCAAAAAGAACCCCCAUUUUCAAUUGGUUCUUCCCCCCCUUUUUACAUUCGUUUUCUUUUCUUUUUAUAACUGAAAAAGAAAAUAGCAAAUACAAUAUUUUUUGCUUUACUGUUGUCUGUCUUUUCUUGCUUGUUGCUUUGGUUUUGCAGGUGUCAGAGGGGUUGGUGGUGGCAGCAAGCUAGGAGGAGGCGUGUGGGCAUGCUGGUACGACUGCUGAACUUAGGGGGGCUAGGUUUUUUUCUUUUUUUAUUUUGUUUAGGCUAGGGUUAGGUUAGGCUAUUGGGUUUGGAUUUGUUUUGUUUGGGUUAAAAGUUGUAAAAUGGGCCCGGAUAAUUUGGGCUUUCUAGAAAUUGUAUAAAUAAAAUUUUAAUUUUGAUUUAAUUAUAUAUAUUUUAAAAUAAAACUAAUUAUUUUCAU